rnacentral:rRNA from 1 species
AGAGCGAACGCUGGCGGCAGGCCUAACACAUGCAAGUCGAACGGAUCCUUCGGGAUUAGUGGCAGACGGGUGAGUAACACGUGGGAACGUGCCUUUUGGUUCGGAACAACUCAGGGAAACUUGAGCUAAUACCGGAUGUGCCCUUCGGGGGAAAGAUUUAUCGCCAUUAGAGCGGCCCGCGUCUGAUUAGCUAGUUGGUGAGGUAAAGGCUCACCAAGGCUUCGAUCAGUAGCUGGUCUGAGAGGAUGAUCAGCCACACUGGGACUGAGACACGGCCCAGACCUCCUACGGGAGGCAGCAGUGGGGAAUCUUGCGCAAGUGGGCGAAAGCCUGACGCAGCCAUCGCCGCGUGAAUGAUGAAGGUCUUAGGAUUAGUAAAUUCUUACGACGGGAUGAAUAUGACACGUAACCGGAGAACGAACGCCCGGAUAACUCGCGCCAGCACGCGAC